AAACGCGUCUUAUCUUAAUUCAGCGGUCUCAUCCAUCUGGACGCUGCUCACCAUUUCGCACGUUGACAAGAGAAGUUUCAGAGGGAACACACAGCGGGGGUAGCGGGCGAGAGAGUAAGGGCGACGCUGCAGUGGAUCGAUCGAUCGACACAUCUCUUUCCUCGUGCCCACUCCUCUCCCUCGUCUUCUUAUUCGACACGCUAUCCACCCAUUUUGCAGCAAGUGGGCACCUCAGACUCUCUCCACACGUGCGCGGCACACACACACACACACACACAGAGACGCCUCUCCUUUCUCUUUUUGUUUCCCGCCUGCUCUCUCGCUUUCCCUUCAUCCCCACAUCCGUUAUCGACUGACGAGCGCGCGCCAGCGACAGAGAGGGGGUGGGGAAAAAAAGGGGCAACAAGUGGGAGGUCCAGCUUAGAUACUUUUUUUUUUCGAACACCUUGCGAGCACGUCGACAGCGCAUACGCCAUAAACGUUCCGUCGCCACCAUAAAACAACAACAGGAUAGAUAGUGCACACCGUGUCCUUCCUCGUUCACACUACCGUGUCUUUCUCUGUCUCCCUCUCUCUGUCCACCGGUGUGUGUGUGUGCGAGAGAGAGAGCGAGAAGCGCAGGCGUGUUUUGCGGACGCUUUGGAGGGAAAAACGGCGAUACGCGAAUGACAUACCACAGACAGACGCACUCAUUCGCUUACACAAACACAGUGAUCGUUAGAAGAUCACUGCUGGGAGGACCCGAGCGAUGUUUGCGGCGUGUGAUCCGAACCGCGUGCCUGUCGCGCCGUCGGUCAAGAUCCCAACACUCAGCUCCCCUAACGGCGGCGAUGCGGCGGUGAAAGUGACUGACUACUCGCCCUCCACAAGCAUGAAGCGUCGUCACGCUGCUACUCGACCGCCCGGGACGUUCGCCGCCGCUGAGGGUGCAUCACCGUUGCCAGCCACAGAGCUUUGUGUGCAUGAAUGCAGCACCGAGACUGCUGCACUGGUGGAGUCGCCGCCAUGGCACGAGUGGGGGGAGAGCAGCGGUUGCGGCGAUGACGGCAAGUUGCACAAUGAGCUUUUUCAGCUAGAGGAGACGGCACCGAAGAGGGGUGGGGCUCUGCAAACCACGCCUGCCGAUGCGCUUUCCAAGUCGUCGUCUGUGAUUGGAUCGGGUGCGCUCCAAACCAACCUGCCCAUUGGUGAGCUGCUUCUGCAGAAAGAGGAGUUCUUGGAGCGGCUCGUGCAACGCGUGCGCGCGAGUUGCGCGGGUGUGCCGCCGGAGCACAGCGCCAGCACUUGCAACGCGGAACAAGAUGCGGAGCCUGGUGCGGUGCGUCAUCGGGAAACUUCUCCGCCGCCUCGGCGGCUCUCGCUUCCCGGCGUCGAACUUGCUGACGGCACAGGGGUACGCUCAAGCGAUGCAGGCCAUCGAUCGUUGGGGCGAUCGCGGUCGCGUAGUCUGUCGCUUAUGUCGGCCUCCUCCACGGUGAAAGGAUCGACCCUGGCAACUGCGGCGGAGCCGGUGCAAGCCCAAGCUGACGCUCUUGCUGGCCGAAGAGUUCGAGCAGCUGCAUCUGCAACGCAUCAGCGGUCCCGUGCCACUUCGCCCGAUCCUCGACCGCCAUCUACCGACUUGUACGCGACGGGAGGAGCACUGCGGAGCAGCCUGCAGUACGGCCGCUGUUCUGGCGUAUCGCGGGGUCGGCGGUCUCUGAGCGCGGAGCGGCCUGACCACAGCGAUACGUGCGCGCCAUUGGAUACUGAAAUGCAAGAAACCGAAGAGGUGGUGAACAGCUUCUGGGGUCGUGCGGCCGCGGCGUCGACUGGGACACCCGGCGCAGCAGCAUGCAGGAGCCUCAGCGGUAUCCGCUCGGAGUCUGUGCACAACCAGCUCUCACACCCACAAUGGAAUCCACAUCCAGUACAGGCGGCUCGUCCGGCCUGGAAUCAGCGACAGCCGCAGAGAAAGCAGCGACCUGUGGUGAGCGUGCCAGGAUCGAAGCCGCCGUCGUCGGCUCGCCGUUGCGCGUCGCGCAGCCCCGAGACGUCCACCAGUGCGCAGGGGCUGCGCGGCGCCAGGUCGGAAGAAAGGGACUCUACAGGGGCUUCUCACCGCAGAGCCGGGCGUGCUCUGAGGCGCACCGACUCUUUGUCACUGCAGCUGAAGCAGAAGCAGACGACAGCGCCGCGUCGCGCUGCCGGGCAAUCGCCAGGGGGAACUGCCGCCUCCCCCUUGUCUCCGCCAUCUGCGCGCGCGCUCUUUCAGAUCCACGACGCACACAGCAUAGCGAAGACCACGUCACCGCUGGGAAAGGAGCAGGAGACGGCUCUGCAGAGCCAGUGCGACGCGGCGCUGGCACGGGCGACUCAGGCAGAGCGGCAGUGCAACAUUCUCUCCCACGCCCUGGAGCAGCUGCUCGUCGACCACGCGGCCGAGAAAGCCGCGUGGGAGGUGCGGCACGCAGCGCUCGAGCAGCGGCUGGUCUCAAUCACGGAGUGGAUUAGCGGUAUUGAUGCCGAGGCGAACUUGGACGCAGCGCCCCAGGAAGCGUCAAUCACACGAACGCCAGAGACGGCGACCUCGGACACAACCACACCGCAGAUGUUUACCAAACGAAACGAGGUGGGUGACGCGGCUCUCCUCGCUGCCACGAAGAACACUGCUUGGGAGGAAGAUGUAGACAUUGUUGAUCUUACCAACAACAGCAGUCCCCUUCCGGGUGCCCCUGGCGCAACUCCCACGCCGGCCCGUCACGACAGCGCCAACGCUGACUGCGGGAAUGCUUCCACAUGUCAGGUGCACCUGCCGCCAUCGCCACCACUAAUCCUGCACAUGCACGCCGCCGCCACCCAGUAGCGAUAUGAUUGACGGAGCGGCCGCACUGCACGUUUCCCUAUUCGCUACUUUGCAUGACACUGUGUAUAGCAUGUCAAGGGGAGGGGAAGGGGGAUGCGCGUCUGUAUGGCUCUCUCUGUGUGCGUAUGCGCUGGAGCAACCUUUACACAAGGUGAAGUCGUUAUUUGUCUAAGUGGUUUUGACGACCGAAGGCGGCUCACAACACAGGCCCCGACGCCACUACCUACACAACAGCUUCACCUUGCUUAGAGAUUGCUCCAGCGCAUCAUAUUACAAGCACAGUCACACGGGCAUGCAUGGAAGCGUGCUUUUCUUUUUUCUCUUUUUGGUCUCUUGGCUGCCUACACCGAUAGCGCGCCCAUCCGUGUACAUGGCAGAUUACUUGUCGGCCGUCACCAUGACAUCCUCCGCGCACUCUGUGAAUCUCCGCCUCAUAGCUCGGCCAGUAUCUUUCCCUCCUUCUUUUCGUUCUGGUUGUUUGCGCGGUUCUCACACUCCUACCGUUUUCUUUCUAG
rnacentral:misc_RNA from 1 species